GAGGUCUUAGCUUAAUUAAAGUGCCUGAGUUGCAGUUAGGUGAUGCAGUUUAAAAUUCUGCAGGUCUU
rnacentral:tRNA from 1 species